GCAAACUUGGUCAUUUAGAGGAAGUAAAAGUCGUAACAAGGUUUCCGUAGGUGAACCUGCGGAAGGAUCAUUAUCGAUUGUGAAUCGUUGCCCUCUGUGCUGGCUGGCUCCCUCCGGCAAGUGCACGUUGGUGACUUUCCAUCCAAACACCCUUGUGAACCUUUGGCCUCUUGCUGGCUUUGGCUGGUGGAGGAUUUUACACACCAACUCGAAUGUAAUGAGAAAUAUUCUUGUGCGCAAGCACUAUUAUACAACUUUCAACAACGGAUCUCUUGGCUCUCGCAUCGAUGAAGAACGCAGC
rnacentral:misc_RNA from 1 species